rfam:Gorilla gorilla gorilla genomic chromosome, chr6, whole genome shotgun sequence
GUCAGGAUGGCCGAGUGGUCUAAGGCGCCAGACUCAAGCUUACUGCUUCCUGUGUUCGGGUCUUCUGGUCUCCGUAUGGAGGCGUGGGUUCGAAUCCCACUUCUGACA